rnacentral:misc_RNA from 1 species
AGCCAGCUGGUUCCCAAAUUUCCACUAAUUUGCAAUGUUUGAUUUAGGCAAUGAAUUGUUCUUGCUGUGCAUGCCAUUGGUUUGGUUAUGGGUUUUCCUUUAUUAUAAAGUUCGAAAAGAUAUAUAUAUUUUCGUAAGGCUUAAGUUGUGCCCUCCAUGCUCCCUGCUCUCCGCUUCCGGUUUAGGUUUCAAUCCCAAAAAGAGCAAGUAAUGUCCAGUAGCUCAAGCAUUGAGCUUCACCUCCUCGAUUUUGAUGGCUUCUCCGUGUAUUAACAUUUUGAAGGGCUACAGAUAUUCUACUCACAACAUUGUCUUCCUUGUAUGUCUUUUAUCAAAU